UACGAAGGGGGCAAGCGUUGCUCGGAUUUAUUGGGCGUAAAGGGUGUGUAGGUGGCUUGAUAAGUUAGAUGUGAAAGCCCAGGGCUUAACCCUGGAAUUGCAUUUAAGACUGUUGAGCUUGAAGUUUGGAGAGGUUAGCAGAAUUCCCAGUGUAGAGGUGAAAUUCGUAGAUAUUGGGAAGAAUACCGAUGGCGUAGGCAGCUAACUGGCCAAAACUUGACACUGAGGCACGAAAGCGUGGGGAGCAAACAGG
rnacentral:rRNA from 1 species